AUAAACAAAGACAAUUCGAACAGAGAAAUGAACGCCGGUACAUGCAGUGGCUCCAUCGCAUAAUUGGACAGCAGUUUCCUCUGUACGAAUGUGCUCAAAAAGUAUAAUUUCUUUACGGUUAAACCAACCGUUUUUACUUCCAACUUUAUAGUAUUACCUAUCCAAAUCAUAAACAAAAACUCAUACUUUUUAGUGAGAACAGUUAAUUUUAAUCGAAAAACCAAAAAAAGUCAGGGCAAAAAUGCCAACAAAUCUAUUUAAAGUCCCAGUUUUUCUUAUCGAAUAUAUGCAAUGGAUGCCUGGAAUUAUACCAAACAAAGCAAAAACAUGUUGUAUGGAGAACUUACUUAAAAAUCGAUAGGGAAAAGUCGUUUUCCCAUUUCGUGUUUACAUUUGUAUGAGAGAUUUCCCCUACCUUAGUCCAUUGGCAAGCUCUAACAAUAAAUAAUUAGGUCAAGAACUUGUACUGAGAAAAUUAGUUCUCGAAUAAGGUAUUUUGAUGCUGUAUCAUCUAAAAAGCCAUUUUUUAUGGUGUUUAUUAUUAAAAGAUUUUAUUGAAUGAAUGCUACCAAAAAAGUUUGAACUUCUCUUAUUAAUU
rnacentral:lncRNA from 1 species